rnacentral:lncRNA from 1 species
GACUGAAGGAGAAGUCUCAAGUCGUCUCAAGUCUGCUGAAAUAUUCAAAUUUUUAAAAAACUAGUUCAAGUUCAAAUUUGUUAAUCUAUUUUAACUCAACUUUCUUUCUAUUGAAGUUUUACCUAUUUUAUUUUUGUUUUUAUUCUCAUUUAACUGACAAUGAAGAAACAACUUGAAGAUUUAAGAAUCAAACUAAACCAUAUCAGAAGUCUAAGAACUAGAAUGAAAAGUGUAGUGUUCGUAGUCGGUCCCCAGCCGAGCUUACUCAACAACGAAAAAGAGAACAGAUCAGAAACACACCACAACUAUACUGAUGAUGAGGGAUCAUCAGCAAUAACAACAUUCACCUCAACUUCAACGAAGACUUGUGAGAAAAUAUUAAGACUCAAGAGUGUCGUCACCAUAGUGUCAGUGCCAAACUCCAUAAAAAACAGACUCAAAUCUAAUCAAAAGAAAAAGUUAAGACUCAAAAAUGUGUUCAGUGUGGUUUCAUUGCCAAACUGUACAAAAUCAAAAGUUGAAUCGAAAAAGAAGAUCCAGUUCAGCAAACACAAGGAUUCUGAAAUUGAGUCUCGUCACAGUUUGUCAAGUUUGUGGUACCAGCAGGAGCGUCCAAAAGAUCGGCAAGGCAUUUGCGAAUUUAACGAGAACUGGCUAAGUUUCCCAGAUAAUGAAGAGAGUUUUCCUUCGCUGCGGAGUUUGUCGAUAAUGGCAAUACAGAAAAACUUUCUCACCUUGAAGUCCGACUUGAAAACGAUUCCAUUUUCACUCCAGUGGGAAGUGUAUUACAAAUCCGUUUAAUUCAUUUGGAGGGAGCAUCAAAAUUCUGAAUCUAAAGUCUCAAGUCGUUUCGAAACCCCUGCUUUAUAUGAGACAAUCGUUAAUCACCUGAUUGAAAGAAAUUCCAGCAUUAUCGUGUCGUUUUUAUUUGGAGGAAGCAUAAAAAUUCUGAAGGCCUAGUCUCAGGCAGUUUCGCACUAGUACCUGAACUAUUGCUUCCUAAACUGACUUGAAAAAUUACAACUUUGUAAAAUUUAUCUCUUUUCUCCCCCACGUCCUGGCCUCCAGAGAUUACGAAAUCUAAACGUGUGUUGUGCAGGAUGUGAGAAUCUUGGAUAGGUGGAGAAUGCGGCAUAUGAGGCAGA